GUGAGCACAAGCCCCAUAUCAAGUGAGCACAAGCCCUGCAUCAGGUGAGCACGAGUCCCACUUCGAGUGAGACUGAGACCCACUUUGGGUGAACAUGAGCCCUGCAUCGGGAGAGCUCAGGUCGGAGACUGAGAUCUCCGAAGGGCAGAGAAGCUAAGCAGUUUUCCCAAGGGCACAGAGUCGGUAAGUGGCAGAACGACACCUCAAACCCAAGUCUUCUGCCUCCAGAUCCUCACAACUGACCAUGACUGUGUGCGUGGGAAUCUUCUAAGUCUUCGGCUAAACACUGUGCGGAGCCAUUUGUAAAGUGGGAGGUUUUCCUUUUGUGUACUUCAACUAUAUAUACAGGUAAGAAAAGCAAAGUUUGAUGAGAUCAAGAACUGCUUCAAGAUUCUGAUCUGAUAAGCACUGUUGUGGGAUGUGGACUCCAGUCCUUUGAAGCCAAAUCUAGUGUGUGCCUCAAUGAGCCUGUGUGAACGUAAACUGGUUGCUUCUAGAUCCUCUAACUCAAGUUGUCUUCAAGGUUCUCUGGAUAUGGUCCAUGUCGAUGUUUAAAAAGCAAUAGGGAAAAUCGAUUGAAUGACUCACUUUUCAGAGUUGCAUUAACUUUUUCAGGCCACUGGGGUACUAUUUACUAAAUUACCUCUCCUAGAACACUAAAUAGUACCCUAGUGGGUCAAAGAGUAAAUGCACCUCUGAAAAGUGAGCCAUUUAUUCCUUUCUUCCUUGUAGUACCAGAUGUAAUAUGUCCCCUAUGACAGAAAUAUGAACCCAUUUCCAUUAAAAACUCAAGAAAAAGUCCCACACUAGAGAAAAUGAGAAUGGGGAAUCUUUCCGAAGCAAAAAUUUCUCUUUUAUAACCCUGUCCACAAUAUUGUUGAAAAGUCAACAUGUACUUGUAUAACAACAUUUCGUUUUUAUUCACUGGAGAUUGAUUUUUAAUCAAGACCUCGAAACAAAAUAAAAAUAUAAAUUCAAAGCUGAUGGUUUUCAGCACAGAGAUGCAUAGUGUAUCAUGAUUGCUGGCUUUCUCCUGCAUGGCAGAAUUUAAAAACUCAGCUCAAGUGUCCAUCUUGCUUAUGAAAUAAGAUCUACAUCACCAAUAGCUGUUCUUUCACAUACCUCAUUACGUUACAGGUUAUCCCUUGGCCUGAAAAACAAAAUUCCUUGACUAACAAGUACGUAUAUUAUUACUUGUAAUCUCUAUAACGGCCAAAGCCUCUGAAUACAUUUUUGAGUUGCCUUAGGAAUAGCUACCAUGUGACUGAACAUUUGUGAGAUACCUCAAUAAAGCGA